rnacentral:rRNA from 1 species
GAUGAACGCUAGCUACAGGCUUAACACAUGCAAGUCGAGGGGCAGCAUGACGAUAGCUUGCUAUUGUUGAUGGCGACCGGCGCACGGGUGAGUAACGCGUAUCCAACCUGCCCUUGUCCACCGGAUAACCCGUCGAAAGGCGGACUAACACGGUAUGCAGUCCACAGCAGACAUCUAACGUGGACGAAAUGUGAAGGAGAAGGAUGGGGAUGCGUCUGAUUAGCUUGUUGGCGGGGUAACGGCCCACCAAGGCGACGAUCAGUAGGGGUUCUGAGAGGAAGGUCCCCCACAUUGGAACUGAGACACGGUCCAAACUCCUACGGGAGGCAGCAGUGAGGAAUAUUGGUCAAUGGGCGAGAGCCUGAACCAGCCAAGUAGCGUGCAGGAAGACGGCCCUAUGGGUUGUAAACUGCUUUUAUACGGGGAUAAAGUGAGUCACGUGUGGCUUAUUGCAGGUACCGUAUGAAUAAGGACCGGCUAAUUCCGUGCCAGCCGCCGCGGUAA